rnacentral:lncRNA from 1 species
AGUUAAACACAUAUUUUUAGUGAGAGCUUGUGAUCCAGCCACUGCACUGGGCACCGAGGACUCCAAGUGGAAGAUGAUGUCAUCCACAAUGGCAUCUCCAGGGGAAUCGAUUUUGAUGACUCCAAUCAAGGCAGGCGGGUCAAUGGCAGCGACCACUGAAGAUGCUAUGGCUUGAGAGGGAAGGAGAGAGGCAGCCACUGCCUGAGACAUGAAGAUUUUAGAAAAUGUUCUGCCCGUGUUGAGGCUUACGCAGAAACCACCCAGCAAGCAGGACCCUGGCCGGAUGUUCUUGUUUGACUGGUUUCUGACUAAACACUGAUCUGCUUCUUCAGUAUCUUCUGUCUGAAUAAAGGAAUAUUUAGAGUCUGACUCAAUGUGUUACUCAUAAAUCCUAAAAUCUCCAACUUAAAAAAUAUAUUUAGGAUGGAUCUUAAUUUAGCCCACUUUUUAAAAC